rnacentral:lncRNA from 1 species
CGGAGGAUUUCUGACGGUGGUGAGCUACUCGUUCCCAGCGGCGCCCAAUGCCAAACUGAACAAUUGAACAUUGAAGACGAUCAGUAUGUGUGAGAUUGAUCUUCUAACUUUGCUUCUUGUUAGAUUAGGUGCAUAUUUCGCGAGUUAAUCUCGUUCUAACAUGUCUGUGAUUUUAUUUUUGUUUUUCCUUGCAGAUUUCAGGAUAGGGGGCAGCCACGCAGGUUGGCGCUGUUGCCAGGGACAGCAAGGGCCACGUUUUCGUCUCUGUAUGCAGAAUGCUGACCCCCAGUCGAAGUGUUGAGGAGGCCGAGGCA